ACAUUACCGAGUUUACAACUCCCAAACCCCUGUGAACAUACCAAUUGUUGCCUCGGCGGAUCAGCCCGCUCCCGGUAAAACGGGACGGCCCGCCAGAGGACCCCUAAACUCUGUUUCUAUAUGUAACUUCUGAGUAAAACCAUAAAUAAAUCAAAACUUUCAACAACGGAUCUCUUGGUUCUGGCAUCGAUGAAGAACGCAGCAAAAUGCGAUAAGUAAUGUGAAUUGCAGAAUUCAGUGAAUCAUCGAAUCUUUGAACGCACAUUGCGCCCGCCAGUAUUCUGGCGGGCAUGCCUGUUCGAGCGUCAUUUCAACCCUCAAGCCCCCGGGUUUGGUGUUGGGGAUCGGCGAGCCCUUGCGGCAAGCCGGCCCCGAAAUCUAGUGGCGGUCUCGCUGCAGCUUCCAUUGCGUAGUAGUAAAACCCUCGCAACUGGUACGCGGCGCGGCCAAGCCGUUAAACCCCCAACUUCUGAAUGUUGACCUCGGAUCAGGUAGGAAUACCCGCUGAACUUAAGCAUAUCA
rnacentral:rRNA from 1 species